rnacentral:lncRNA from 10 species
GCAACUUAGACAAGUAAAGGUUCUGCAAGCACAGAUGCAGCUUCCCACCUGAAGCCACUGCCGACUUCAAGGGCCUGGCUCAGCGGCUGAGGUUCUCAGGAGGAUGUGGCCAGCACAAUGGUUCCAUUAUUGAGCGUUUGAAGCACUCUUUAUUUUUAACUACCCCUCUGGGCUUUUGCUAGGCUGUAACCCCUGCCAGGAAGGCUCAGCCCCUGUCCCUGGCUACCUCGCCUUGUUCUUCAAAGUCCAGAGUAAACGCCACCUUCUCCACAACAUGCUUCCUGACACGCCCUGAUGGAGGCACGUGCUAAGUCCGUUCUGAGUGUGUCUGUCCCCACCCUGAGGGCAGUGACCAAGGCCUGGCCCAUGCCCAGCACGGAGCAGGCACUGCCCAGUUGGCCAGGCAGCACACACUGACUUGGGACCUACAGACAAGAGUUCAAGUUCCAGCUCUUCCCUUCAGUGACUAUGUGAACCUGCCUUCUCUGGGCCUCAGUUUACUCAUCAGUAAAACGAGGGUAACAACCCUGGCAAGUUCCAGGAUUGUGCAGUUGGGAGUUGCUGGUCUGGCCUGGUAGAUAAGUGACUCUUUGUGCAAAUUAUUUUGCUUAAAACAUUCUUUGUUGGUAAAGCAGCAACUCAUUGCUUAAUUCCUGCAAAUCAUCGUUAAUGGACAGCAAGCAUUUAUUGACUACCAACUGUAUAUAUGGCCCCAGGCCAGUCUUAGAACACCAACAGGAACCACUUCCCAACCCAAAAGCACCCAGCAGAUGAUAGAUGCUAUUGACGUCAACAUUGCUGAGAUGGCCUGCAUGUCAGCUCCUGUG